rnacentral:rRNA from 1 species
UACAGAGGGUGCGAGCGUUGUUCGGAAUCAUUGGGCGUAAAGCGCUUGUAGGCGGCUUGUUAAGUCGCGUGUGAAAUCCCUUGGCUCAACCAAGGAAGUGCGCGCGAAACUGGCGAGCUCGAGUGCCGGAGAGGGUCGCGGAAUUCCCGGUGUAGAGGUGAAAUUCGUAGAUAUCGGGAGGAACACCGGUGGCGAAGGCGGCGACCUGGGUAGAUACUGACGCUGAGGUGCGAAAGCGUGGGGAGCAAACAGG